GGUAAAAUGGCUGAAAUUUAGGCGUUAAAUUGUAAAUUUAUUUAUGACAUUGCUUCUUUUACUA
rnacentral:tRNA from 1 species